CCUACGGGUGGCAGCAGUGAGGAAUAUUGGUCAAUGGGCGGGAGCCUGAACCAGCCAAGUCGCGUGAGGGAAGACGGUCCUAUGGAUUGUAAACCUCUUUAGGCGGGGAGCAAUGCCGGGCACGCGUGCCCGGAGGGAGAGUACCCGCAGAAUAAGCAUCGGCUAACUCCGUGCCAGCCGCCGCGGUAAUACGGAGGAUGCGAGCGUUAUCCGGAUUUAUUGGGUUUAAAGGGUGCGUAGGCGGAUUUUUAAGUCAGCGGUAAAAUGUCCGGGCUCAACCCGGGCCGGCCGUUGAAACUGGGGAUCUUGAGUGGGCGAGAAGUAUGCGGAAUGCGUGGUGUAGCGGUGAAAUGCAGAGAUAUCACGCAGAACUCCGAUUGCGAAGGCAGCAUACCGGCGCCCGACUGACGCUGAGGCACGAAAGCGUGGGGAUCGAACAGGAUUAGAUACCCGAGUAGUC
rnacentral:rRNA from 1 species